UACGAAGGGGGCUAGCGUUGCUCGGAAUUACUGGGCGUAAAGCGCACGUAGGCGGCUCUUUAAGUCGGGGGUGAAAUCCUGGAGCUCAACUCCAGAACUGCCUUCGAUACUGGAGAGCUCGAGUCCGGGAGAGGUGAGUGGAACUGCGAGUGUAGAGGUGAAAUUCGUAGAUAUUCGCAAGAACACCAGUGGCGAAGGCGGCUCACUGGCCCGGGUACUGACGCUGAGGUGCGAAAGCGUGGGGAGCAAACAGGAUUGAG
rnacentral:rRNA from 1 species